rnacentral:rRNA from 1 species
UCCAGACUCCUACGGGAGGCAGCAGUGGGGAAUAUUGGGCAAUGGGCGCAAGCCUGACCCAGCAACGCCGCGUGAAGGAAGAAGGCUUUCGGGUUGUAAACUUCUUUUAAGAGGGAAGAGCAGAAGACGGUACCUCUUGAAUAAGCCACGGCUAACUACGUGCCAGCAGCCGCGGUAAUACGUAGGUGGCAAGCGUUGUCCGGAUUUACUGGGUGUAAAGGGCGUGCAGCCGGGAGUGCAAGUCAGAUGUGAAAUCCCGCGGCUCAACCGCGGAACUGCAUUUGAAACUGUGCUUCUUGAGUGCUGGAGAGGCAGACGGAAUUCCUAGUGUAGCGGUGAAAUGCGUAGAUAUUAGGAGGAACACCAGUGGCGAAGGCGGAUUGCUGGACAGUAACUGACGCUGAGGCGCGAAAGCGUGGGGAGCAAACAGGAUUAGAUACCCCUGUAGG